GACGAAGGGGGCUAGCGUUGCUCGGAAUUACUGGGCGUAAAGCGCGUGUAGGCGGCUGUUCAAGUUGGGCGUGAAAGCCUUGGGCUUAACCCAAGAAAUGCGCUCAAUACUGGAUAGCUAGAGGACCGGAGAGGAUAGUGGAAUUCCCAGUGUAGUGGUGAAAUACGUAGAGAUUGGGAAGAACACCAGUGGCGAAGGCGGCUAUCUGGACGGUUUCUGACGCUAAGACGCGAAAGCGUGGGGAGCGAACAGG
rnacentral:rRNA from 1 species